rnacentral:lncRNA from 1 species
ACAGACAACACAAUAUCUAAAAAAGGGUCACCAAAGGCAUCGGAGAACAAAUCAAAACCAUACCUAGCCGGUAGCCGCCGCACAACCACCGUUACUACGAUACCACCACUGAAACGGCACCACCGCCAUUAGUUUAUUUUUGUAACCACAUUUCUUGUUUUUCAUCUCUCUCUAUAAACAUUAUACCGUUCAUUAUCCAUCACCACAACCAUCCUCGGCCCCGCCCAUCUUUCUUCUACUUCUCCUUCACCGUCCCUGCCGCUGCCCCACCACCACGCUACCGCCGUAGCAAAAACGUUGGAUUUUUGUGGCUCCCCUCCGUAACCGGCCAUCUAAAUUAUUCCGGCCGGAGAUCUCUGGUGGUGGCGGGAGUUAUAUAGGGUGUAAAACAACGGCAAACGACGGGGAAACAAUUGUUGGAGGAGACGCGUUGGUUUUUUUCCGAAAGGGUGCGUUGCUCUGGUUGGCACUUGGCAACCGUAAAGUUGUGACGGUUUUUUUUGUGAAAGUUCUGUUGUUUUUUUUUUCUUUUGAAAGUUCUGUUGGUUUAUUUCAUGUUUUUGUCUGGCGCGUCGUUUUGGAUGUAAAAGCCCGAUUGUUUAGCAUGUUGACUGCUUCGGGUUGUAUGCACCGUCCUAUUGUUUAACAUCAAGGAUGAUCGGAGGUGAUACUGUUAAGGGAACGAAUGGUGGUGGAGUUGUUUUUUAG